UCCAAACACACAAAACCCAUUAUUUACAACCGUGAAUCCUCCAUCGAUGACAAGAUUGUGACCACUAACAUACUUAGACUCAUCACUUCCCAAGUAUAGAGCAGCUUCAGCCACAUCUUUUGGCACAAGAUUAGCACCCUUUAGGUUAGAAUAAACAUCUAAAACAUCAUCAUCAUCAUCGAGCUUAAAAUAUUUCUUAACCAACGGAGUUGCAACAAUAUAAGGUGACACACAAUUCACCCGAAUACCAAACCGUCCAAGCUCGAUGGCCGUGUUUCUCAUCAGCCCAACAACGGCGUGCUUUGCACUUGUGUAGGCAUGUGGAGCGACACCACCUAUGCUUCCACAAACACUAGCUGUGUUAAUUAUGCUACCCCGUCGAGCGGGGAUCAUUACCCUUGAUGCAUGCUUUGUUCCAAGAAAGACACCAGUCAAGUUUACUUUAAUCACAUCCUCAAAUUCAGAUAAUUUGUUUUCAAGUAUCUUUGUUUUGUUUACACCGCUUAUGCCAGCGUUGUUAAACAUGAUAUCUAGUUUACCGUACUUGAAAACGGUUGUGUUCACGGCAUUUUCAAUGUCUUCUUCCUUUGUCACGUCACAACGAACAUAGGAAGAAGACGAUUUUUGUAAUUCCUUGCAAAUAGAGUGUCCUUUGUCGUCUUGGAUGUCAGCUAUAACGACUUGAGCUCCAUGCUCGGAGAAGAGUCUUGCAGUGGCCUCACCAAUGCCGCUCGCACCACCGGUGAUCAAAGCUACCUUCCCCUCAAGCCUUGUAAAUGAAUUGAGCAUGACAAAUUGUAAGUUAACUAUAACUUAAUUACAGUUCUAUAAGGUGAUAACCAAUUGGGUUUAUUAUAUAAAAUAAAAUAAAAUAUCAUUUUUAAGAAAUAAAUGAAAUAAGGUGAAGUUGCAACUUGUUUAUACCUUCUUAAGGCAUUAGAGACCAAUGGAACGGUUGACAUUGUUAGCUUUUCAAGUUUCUGGAUAGUCGAGGAGAAAUAUAGGUUUGGAUCUUCACUUCCUUCAACUAUCUUAUUGCAUCGUCCAUUAAAUAAAGCCCCAAGCUUUAAUCAUUUUUUCAAUAGUACUAAUGAUGGCGUUGAAUUAUUAUGUAGUUGCCUUCGUGGACCGUAGUAACACAAGGAACUUAUGGACCACAUGUUUUAAUUUUUAAAAAUUAUGCAGAAAGUGAUGUGUACCAACCAUUUACCAAUAAUGAAUGAAUGAGAAACGUUUUUUUUGAACAAUUAAAAAUGAAAUAUAUAUUAACCGCCAAAAGCAAACUCCACUAGCACAAGGUGUGCCAAAUGAAUUACUUUAAAAACAAACAGUCAGACAAGUAUCCAAAAACAAACCAUUAAGUGAUGCCCAAACAUUGAAAGGGACUUGAACACCAACUAUCUGUACCAAACCUAAAAACAACAUUUUUGGCUUUCAACCAGGCUAAAGACUUAUAUUUAACUUUAUCUAACAACCUGGGAAUAGAAGUUACAACAUUAUUAAAGAGUCUGUUAUUACGCUCAUUCCAUAAAACCCAAAUGCACAAAAGCCAAAUAAGCUGAAGGAAGGCGCGAGUUGCUUUGCCACCACCUGACAAGUUCACAAACUGGAGAAAAUGAUUUGGUAGAACGUUGGUUAGUGGCCUGUUAAGGAAAUUGUUAUAUGUAAAUGUGCUAAACAAUAGCCGGCCCUAAGUUUUUAGUGAGAGAAACUCUGUCUUCUCUCUAAGUUUUCUUCCUCUUUCGCUCAUCGAGGAGGGGUGAUUUAAGGUCAAUUUUUGACCUAGAAUCACCCUCUGCAUCUUUUUUCCCCUUUCUUUUAAUCUAAAUUAGUGAUUUUCACAUACAUCAAGUUUUUCGUUCGUGAUUUCGUCGUCUUAAUUUGACGUUGUGCUGUUCGUCGUCUUGUGCAGCGUUGUUUGAUUUCACAUCCUUUGUUGUGCGGUGUUCGUUUGGUUCGUAUUGAAAGAUUAACUUCAGACAAUCAAAAAUUCAAUUAAUGAUUUGGGCAUCAACGUUGCAGAUCCAAAAGCAUAGGUAUUCUGGUGAUUUAGAUUUCAUCAUAUUAUUUGUAGGCAUUUUGCUAUUGUACGUUAUUAACUUGGGUGUUGUGAGUUUGUUUGCAGAUUCACCCUAUAUGUUUUUAGCGAUAUUGAUCAUGCUAUUGUCUCUGAUGUAUUCUAUCAAUUUGAAUGAAUGAAUAUCUUUUAUUUUUGUCACAAAAAAAGGAAACUGUUAGAGUCCACAUCGGUUAAAUAAAAGUGUUUGAUGUGAUACUUACGUCACGAGACUCUCCCACUUAAUAGAAUAGUCUUUUGGGUUGGGCUCUCCUCAUGGGCUUAAGUCCUAAGAAUUGAUGCUCUCGUUGAGAGUUGGAUCACGGAAAGGGCUACAUAUAUUAUGGAUUAAGGUGCUCCAUUGAAUACUGAUAGGUGAGUGAAGCCGCCAAAAAGGAAAGAGCUACCAUUGGGUCAGUUUGAUAGAGUGAAAGUCGUCGUGGACGCCGACUCUUAAAGGGCGUGGCAAUGUUAGGAGUCCUACAUCGAUUAAAUAAACGUGUUUGAUUUGGUACUUAAACCAUGAGACUUUCCUACCUAAUGGACUAAUUUUUUGGGUUGAACUCUCCUCAUAGAUUUAAGUAACUUAACAUACAAAUAUAAUCAUCAUGAAUAUGUCAAUGUUGAAGAUUCGUUGUUGCAUUGUAAGAGAAAUAAAAGCAAAACUCAUCUUAGUUCUUACAACAUCAUGUAAAGCAGCCACUACAAAACGAUGGAUAUAAUUAAGAGAAAUUCUUGUGUAUGAACGAACAUAACUAUCAUUCUUACAAACAACAAAUUAAAACAUGAUACGUCAUUUUUUUCUUCUUUUAAUCAUGAUUGGUGGUGGUGAAUACUAACUGCAAAUAAUGGUCGAGAGAGAGGAGGAGCAGUUAUUUUUCAUUUCUUAAAUUAUUUCCAAAUUAUUUUAAAAUAAAACAAUGACGUGUCAUGUUUUAAUUUAUUGUUUGUAAGAAUGAUAUAUUAGGUUCGUUCCUAGACAAGAAUUUCUCUAUAAUCAAUAUAUCUUUUGUUUUUCUAACAAUAACUUAUUAUUUUAGAUUAUUUUAUAUGUCGUGUAUAAAAUAAAAAAUAGUUUGGUUUUGAUAAAUAUCAAUUUGUUUGUUAAAUGCAUCGGAUACAACUACAAAUUUUGAACUCAUCGGUGAAAGUAGUAUCGAUAUUACCAAGAAAAAGCAUUUUCAUCGCACAUCCAUUCACAAAAAUUUAUUAAGAUCAACAAUUCUUGAUUUUGAUAUAAUAUAUAUGAUGAUGAGCUUCUGGAUAUUUCCUAGACUACUCAAGUUACACUAUAAAAUAUAGCAGGUUUCUUCCUCUAACUUUCACGAAGUUGCAAUUUUGGCCUCCUAAAAAAAAAUUAUAAAAUCGUCCCCUAAGUUUUGCAACUGUAGCAGUUUUGGCCCCCAAAGCAAAAAAAAAAAUAAAAAAAAUAACACGUGGUACCUCACUUAGGGUGGCACGUCAGCAUAGACCGAGUAAAAAUUGGUCUUGGGUGAUUACGAAAUAUAUUACAUCGUUUGUAUUACGAAAUAAUUGAUUCUCAUGUAAUAUAUGUUUUUAUUUUAGCGGGUGGAUCCACUAACAACAAAAAAUCAUUGUUGACGAAAUGGUUGAAUGCGAGUGUAUGAUUUUUACUUGAAAGGAAGCAUUUGCCAAAAGAAUUUUGGGGGUGAAAGAGUAUCCACAGCUAUAUGAAUUUUGGGAGAGAUUGGGAACAUAACAUUUCUAGCUAAAUCUGAAUUAGUGAAAUUAGAAGAUGCUAUAAUAGAUUUCCGGCUAUUGACAUAUUUUCUGGGAAGAGUUUCUAAGAACAAGCAAAUGGAUUUUAAUGCAUCAAAGCAGGUAUGCAAGAGAUAUACUAAAGAAUAUUUAGAUGGAACACUACAAUAUAUAGUGCGGUAUCACUAUCACCUGCUGAACCCAGAUUGCAACUGAUAGUUUCUCUAUCAUCUUAUGAGGAAGAGUGCAUCUCAGCUGCACUAAGUACAUGUCAAGAAAUAUGGCUUAAGAAUAUGAUAAAGGAGAUAAGUAGUGAAAAUUGUGAUGUUGUGACAAUGAAGAUAGACAAUGUGUCAGCUAUACAAUUGGAAAAGAAUCCUAUUGCGCAUAGUAGGAGAAACCUACCUUACAAAGUAGGUCUGCAUGGGAAACCUAUCGCUACUGCAUUGCGAAAAUGAAGAACAAAUAGCAGAGUUGUUGACUGUGCAAGUGUUUCAGAAACUAAGAGAUCAAAUAGGAAUGGAAACUUUGGCUAACUUGAAUUAAGGUCAUGCUUUGAGAAUUAAUUCAAUUUAGCUUAGUCAAAAUAAUGUGAUUACUUGUGAUAUAAGUAAUGUUAAAAUAGAGUUUGUGAGAUUACUUGUUGCGCAAGUAACAUAGUGAUAGAACUUCAAAAAACAAAUUAUUACUAUAGGAGAAUAUUGAGAACAUGACGAGAGUAUUAGAGAAAAUAUUGUCAUAAAAGUUGUCAUAAAAUGGUUGUUCAAAUAUCAUUCUCUUUAUUCAUAAUACGUUGUCAUAUUCCAAUGGUAACAGUCUUGAUGCAACUUACAAGACACCCAAAACAACAAUAAUUGCAUUAUGCAUAAAGAAAACUAUCAACACAUACUGUGCACAUAUUUAGACAGAUUGUCCAAACACAGAAAAUCCAUUGUUAGAGACACUGACUGCUCCAUCUACGACAAGAUUGUGACCACUAACAUACUUAGAUUCGUCACUGCCCAAGUAAAGAGAAGCUUCAGCCACAUCUUUAGGCACAAGAUUAGUACCCUUUAGGUUAGAAUAAAGCCCUAGAAGCCCUUCAUCAUCAAGCUUUAAGAAGUUCUUAGCCAUCGGUGUGGCGACAAUAUAAGGUGAAACACAAUUCACCCGAAUACUGAACGGUCCAAGUUCGAUUGCCGUGUUUCUCAUCAGCCCCAAAACAGCAUGCUUUGAACUUGUGUAGGCAUGUGAAGCCAUACCACCUAUGCUUCCACAAACACUAGCUGUGUUAAUUAUGCUACCUCGUCGAGCGGGGAUCAUUACCCUUGAUGCGUGCUUUGUUCCAAGAAAGACACCAACCAAGUUAACAUUAAUCACUUCCUCAAAUUCUGAUAACUUGUAUUCAAGUAUAUUUGUUUUGUUUGCUCCCACUAUGCCGGCAUUGUUAAACAUGAUGUCUAGUUUGCCGUACAUGGAAAUCGUUGUGUUCACGGCAUUUUCAAUGUCUUUUUCCUUUGUCACGUCACAAUGAACAUAGGAAGCAGAUGAUUUGUGUAAGUCUUUGCAAACUGAGUAACCUUUGUCGUCUUGGAUGUCAGCUAUAAUGACUUGAGCUCCAUGCUCGGUGAAGAGUCUUGCAGUGGCCUCUCCGAUGCCGCUUGCACCGCCGGUAAUCAAAGCCACCUUCCCCUCAAGCCUUUUAAAUGAAUUGAUCAUAUUGCAUAUGUUAAGUUAGCUAUAACUUAAUUUCAGAUCCAUACUGUUUAAGGAUUUCAAAUUAAGAAAUUAUCUCACAAAAAUCAUAUACUUCAAUUCUCAUAAAACCAUACCAUUUAAAGUCUUUAAAAAAUGUCUCAAUACACUCAUUAACAUUUUCCUUUUCUUUAUUGAAAAACAAGAAAAUUAAAUACAUUUAACUUGUUUAUAAUUUUGACAUCUUUAAUAAGAUUGAAAAUAGGUACAUAAUUUUGUUUAUAAUUGAGUGGGGAGAAUGUAGUACCUUCUUAAGACUGCAGCUACAGAAGGAACGGUUGCCAUUGCUGAGCUUUUUGACGUUUCUGGAUAGUCGAGGAUAAGUCAAGUUGUAUUGAAUCUUCACUAUAUGAGUCCUUCAACUACGUUAUCACAUCAUGCAUUAAAUAUAAGUCCCAAAUUUUAAUAUUUUAAUAUACUUCUAAUGUUGAUACUGAAUUAUUUAUGGGAAAUGCGGCACUAGUUAAGGACCUUAAAAGAUAACUUUUUAUAAAAGUUUGUGCAACAAAUACAUUAAAAAUUGAAAAUUUUAAUUUUUUUAAAGAAUAAUUACUUAAUUUAGUAUUGUUAACGAAUGUUCGGGCAUUCGUUUACAAGACUCUUUAUUUAAGUAACUCCUAUUUGGCUUUGUUGACCGCCGUAUAUAACACGGAGCUAAUAGUAUUAAUUUUUAAAAAUUAUGCUAAAAAUUAACGAAUUCACAACUCAGCAGACAUUUUUCUCUUACGUUUUCCAUGUGUGUCAAAGAAAAUAUAUAAUACUCAAAUGGACCGGAUCUGCACUCAAAUGGCUACCCAAAAAUUAUUUUUUGAAAAAUGUUCUUCUCCCAACAAAAAAUGUUCACUUUCAAAUUUCCAAAAAUACUCAUACAUUAGUUAACUUCCGCUGCGUGAGUUACCUUUUGCUGGGGACAUCACCCACUUCACUUAAGUUAACUCAUGCAAGUGUUAUACAUGAAAAUAUAACCUGCUUGAGUUAACUCAUGUAGAUGUUCAACAUGAAAAAACACCCACUUAAGUUAACUCACGCAGAGAUAUUUUCAAAAGUUUGGUUGGAAUUGAGCUUUUUUAUUGGGAGAAAAGCAUUUUUCUUAUUUUUUUUUUUUUUUGUAUUGGUAUGAGUAUUUUAUGUUUAGCUACCCCUAUAAAAUAUGUUUAGCUACACCAAAAAUAAGUUUAUUUGUGCAAAGUUAUGAGAAAUAAAAUACUCAAAAGAUAAUCAUUUGCUUUAAGAGAUUUAUAUAUUUUCUCUUGUUUUAUAUACGUAAAAUUAUUGUAAAUUUUUUCUCAUGAGUUAAAUUUAAUAUUUUUUUGAUUAAUUUAAACUUUUGUCUUCUUAUAUUUGGCCACGCGGUUUACCACAUAUACUAGAUCAGUUGUAUCGUGUCUGUGACCUAGAUAAUAUAAUCUGCAUAUCCUUAUAUUUACAGCUCCUUAAUAACCACUAGUCCACUACUCAUAUCGAAAAGAACAUAUAUGCAUUUAAAAUGCAUUGUUUUGAACAAUUUUCCGAGAUCAUGGUUCUAUAGGUUUGUUGAGAUAUCACUUCAUGCAGUAAUGUGCCCCUAAUAAUGUUUCCAAUAAUCAUUACCCUUAGGAACUUGUUAAGGAUUUAAAAAUCGAAAUAAUUGAUGAAUUUUAUGUAAAAUAAAGUUAUUUUUUGAACACUUGUUAGCAUUUUCAUAUUUUGAUUUGCGACAAGUGCUUUAAGAAAUGCUUUGAGAACAAGACAAAAUUUCUUCUUUAGACUUCUUAAUUAACAAGUGUUUUAAGAACACUUGUUAGCAUUUUCCUAUUUUGAUUUGCGACAAACUUAUGCAUUAGUUUCAAGCCAAUGUAUGCUUUGGUCUUUGGAUUCUUCUUCCUCUUGAAUGGAUUCAGAUAUGGAGUUUGAUGCAAUCACAAUUUGGCUGCAAGAAUAAGAGCUAUGCACAGGGGGGUUUUAUAGAACACAUGCUUCAUCGGAUGAAAAUUUGCAACUGUUUUAGUGUGUAAUUAAAAUUGUGUUGCACGGUUCAGUCCAUUAUGAAAUCCAAUUUUAAAAGUUUGUAUGAUAACAUAUUUGAAGUUUUGAAUUUAGAUAAAGUUUGAUCUUCAAUUUUUGGCUAGUUCAAAUUAAUCUUUCAUCAAAUUUGAUUGAAGUCUAAGAAGGCGACAGUUUUUUUUAGUUACUACUAAUGAUACUAAUGUUACAAAAAAUGCAAACAAGCAUCAUUUUAUAAUUGUUACUCAUAUUGCUAAAAAACAGUUACCGAAACACUUUGGUAACAAGAGCUUUACUUAACAAUUGUUCAAAUGUUAUUGGAUAUAAUUAGCAACAUUUUUCGUGAUUAAAUCAGUCCAUAACGUCCUUUUAGCGCAAGAAGAUACUAACAAGGAUAUGACAUGAAAUCCAUCAAGGAACACGAGGAAACAUGAAACACGUUAUAGAUAUUCUUGUUGUGGAUGUUGAAAAUCACAUUCAAAAGGACAAUGACAUAAUUUCGACACUCAAUAAUGCAAUCACAACCACUUGCACAGCACAUUUGCAGUAAUGAACUUAGCAAGGAAAAAAAAAACAGACCAAAAGAAACAUGUGAUAAAGAAAAGAGUUUUGCUAACAAGUGCUCCAAACACUACUUAAAAUUCUAAAUUAAUAAUUAUUUCUUAAAAGGUUAAGUACUUCAAUUUCAAAUUUAUAUUUAAAAACAUGCAUUUUUUUUAUUUUUUUAUAUAAAAAAUUACAAUUUAAAGUUCUUAAAAAAUAUCCUCCAUUGGUAUCAUCCUUGGUUGGCACGAUCCCUAAAGAAAAACACCUCACACAAUGUCAAAGUUGUCGUGCAACAAGGGAAGAAAAAGAAUAGUCUCACGAGACAUCAUCAAGUGGCAUAGAAAAAGUUCGUCUAUUUAACAUUAUUAAUUUAAUAAAAUAGAAAUUUGGGGUGUUACAGUUUGGAUCAAUUUUAAAACAAAAUUCUAAAGAUGAUAUAUAUUACAAAAUGAAAAUGAUAAAUUAUGUUUAAACAAAUAAAACAGUAAAAAGAAAAUUAAACUAAUAAGUAGUUUUAAAAAUAUUAGAAAUCAACAAAUAAAUGCAUAUAUCAUACUAAUAAAAAAUAAAUAAAGCGUCCACAAGUCCUAACUCUACUUUUAAAAAUGUUGAAAUGGAUAGGUCAGACGCUGUGAUCGGGGUUUAAACUCCACCUCAUGCACUUGUGUGUGUGAGUUUUAAAUGGUUAUUGUCAUUUCAUUCAUCUGCUGAAAAUAAUAAAUAAAGACAUACAAACAUAUCUAAUAAUACUCAGUUUUGGCAGUUUUGAUUUGAUUCAGUUUUGAAAAAUCAAUUCAAUAUAUAAUAUUUGUAGUUUUCACAAAAAGACAUACAAACAUAUCUAAUAAUACUCAGUUUUGUGCAGUUUUCAUUUUGCUUGGAUCCAUUUGCAGUUUUAUUUAGACUGGUUUGGAUUUAAAACCGUGCAACUAAAUUUGAGUUGUUUUGUCAAAAUAAAAUAAAACUGUGUAACAACUCAAAUAUGGACACUUCAGGCCAAGUUAGGGUUGCAUAUUGUAAGGAACCAACUAUAUGGAUAAAAAAAAAGGUGGGAUAAAGUACAUGGUUUUCUUGAACAUUACAAAGUUGCAAUACAUUCCUAAGCUCUUCAUGAUAAGGAUUGCCAAGUUUGCAAUGCAAAUUAUUGUUAUACAAUGAAGGAAAAGAUUUAACAAUAACAACUAUUUCUUGAACAUUCAACAUUGUUACAAAGAGAGGCAUUAAAGUUCAAAGUCGAAUUUAAGGAAUAACAUGCAUUAUUGACACUAGAAGCUUGAGAGGCAGGGGCAAUAGUGAUGGAGAGAGACUUGUAAUAAAAUUUGUAAAGACUAUCACGUCCAAGAAUGCCUCUCAAUAGGAUCUUAGAAAAGCCCUGAGAUUUGACAAAACAUUCAUUAAGGUGAAACCCGAAAUAACCAUUCUACUUCUAAUCCUCAUCCUAUUUAUAAUUUUUUUAGUUAUCAUCGCCUGUUUCCAUCGCAUCAUGAUUGUACUUUUUAAUUUGGUAUUGAAUUCAAUCCGUAUUUUUUACUUGUCUUAUUUGAAGACGCCCUUAAGGUGUGGAGGAAGAUUGAUAGAAUUCAAAACAAGUUUCUUUGGUAUGCCAACUGAAAUGUAAAGGUGGCAUGGGGGUAAGGAAUGUGAGAAUGGUCAAUUUGAGAUGGUGCUUCAUUCAAGAUGGAAAUGUUUUAUGGAAUGAGGUUUUGGUGGAGAAAUAUGGAAGGUCAAUUGGUGGUUUGGUGGAGGGUGGUGAUCAUGAUAGGCCCACUUAUGCAUCUCGGUGGAGGAAGCAUAUAAUAUAGAGACGAUGGGGCCGACUCAAAUUGGUUCAAUACGAAAAUUUCUAGAAGAGCAUGGAAUGGAGGAAAUACUAGCUUUUGGGAGGUGGCUUGGAGGGGGGAACUUUCUUUCCGGAAUAAAUACCCGUGCUCUUUUCUUUAUCUAAUCAAAAAGAGGUAAAAGUGGGUGAAUUGUGGAUAAAUAAUACAACAAAGAUUAAUUGGGCCUUCUCUUAGAGGCGUCCUUUCUUCAUUUGGGAGUCUAAUAUUUUACGGGAGUUAUUGGAGGAUUUGGAGGGUUAUAGGGGGCACAAGCCGAGUAUGGGUGGUGGUGGAAGUUGAAAGAUGAUAGUAGGUUUUCGGUGAAAUCAAUGUAUAAGAAGUUGGAAGGGUUGAUGCUUGUGGAGGAGUUGCACACAGAAGUGCAAUUGAAGGUGUUUAUGCAUAAUUAGAAGUGCCCGACUCCGUCAAAAGUUAUGGCAUUUUCUUGAAAGCUUUUUCAUUGUGAUGUUACUAGGGAAGUCUGGGAGUGUUGGAAUGGUGUUUUCAUAACAAGAGUCUGGGAGUGUUGGAAUGGUGCAAUUGAAAGCUUAUUUUGUACAACUUUUGUACAACCUUCUCUCUCAUACUCACAUUAUCUUCUUACUCUCUCUCUUUUUCUCUCUCUAUUGUUCUCUAAUGUUUUUGACCAAUAAGAAGAGAACACAAUAAGGUUGUCCCAAAAGUUGUACCAAAAGAGUUGUUCAAAUAUCACUACUCUAAACAAAUUCACCAUCCUCAUUGUGACAAUCACGGUAACGUACAACCACAAGCAUACCACCGCCACCCUCAAUAUUCUACAGACCAUGACCCUUGGAUACUUUUACGAUCAACUACCCAUCCACUGCCACUGCACUAGUAAACUCCGAUAAUGUCGAAUCCGGAAACCGAAAUCUCCGUAUAUAUCAAGCUCUAACUAAUCAAAAGACAAUUUCAAUGAUUCACUAUAAUGAGUGCUAACAAGGGAAAGGUGUCACAUGGCAAGGAAAGCACAAUGAAGAGAAUUUGGGAAUCAAUUUCAUUAAAGAGAAUUGGGAUAAUAUAUAAUUGAAUAUGGGUAAAGAAGAUGAGUUGGAAUUUUUUAUAUAAUCUAUCUCUGAGUGAAUUUUCUCUUCUCUCUGAUUGUGCUUGUUUUUUUACUACAAAAUCUUUAUGUACGUUUAACUAUCUGAUUUCCUUACUUCAAAAAACAAAAUCUUUUUUAAAACAUGGUAAAUCUUCUUGUUUAAAGCCACAGAGGAUUGCACCACCACCACCAAGAUUUAUAUGUUUAGAACAUGGUAAAUCUUCUUGUUCAACUAUCACACAAACACUUGUUUAAAUAACAAACAUUUAUAUGUUUAGACAAUCUGUCACCGUACGUGUACUACACUAACGUCAAUAACGUCAAUAUAUGUUUAUAUGACCGAGUACAAUCUAUUUUUAUGAAAAGAAUAAUUGACACAUAAAGAUUAAGAAUAGAAUAUAAAUUUUAUAAAGAUGAUAAUAAUUUUUAUCAAAUUAGUUUUAUCGAGUAUUUUUUUUUAUUUUAAAAAACUUAGUAUCUGACCCAAAAACACAUUAAUUCGAGUGGUUCAAUUUCACUGUGCUUUUGUGAGGGCUCAAUUUAAAUACAGAGCAAAGCUAUGUAUGGAUUAGUCUAUCAAAAUUGAUAUCGGGGAAAUUAAACUUGAGAUCUUGAAAUACGUACACUCUAAACUCUCAAACAACUCAAGGGGGUUAAUUUUAUCAAGUACCAUUAAAAGUGUGUUUAGAAAAAAGGAGUUUUUUUUAAGGAGAAAAAAAAAAGUUAAAUGGCAUUCAUUUUAAGUUAAUUUUAGUUUUGCUAAUAUGAGUUUUAUUAGAUUGUACGAAUAUAAUAUUAUUUUAUAAGUAUUGAUUGAAAAUUUUAUGGCAAAAUUACACUAAUUGUCUUUUAAAUUAAUUUCAAAUAUAAUUUUAUUUUUAUUGGAUAUGGAUUUUUAAACAUAUAUAAAAUCUAAAAUUCAUAUGAAAUAUAAAUGAAGAACCACAUAUUUUAACAUUAAAAUCUCGUAUCGAAAUGAAGUCAUAGAUUUAAAUUUAAAAAAUGCAUAUGCAAAUUGACCUAUAGAACAAAAAUAACAUGAAAAAAUAUAUAAAAACAAAAUUGUUAUCUAAUAUUAAGUUAAAGGAAUAAUAGAGUAAUUUUGCCAAAUUUUAUUCAUAGUGGGGUACGUACCAGCUUUGACGAAAGUUACAAGACUCAAACACAACAAUUAUUGAAAGUCCUUUAAAAGAAAAAAAAUAAACAAUAAUUAAACAUAAACACAUGUAUCUAAGUAGACGUACGGUCCAAGCAUUCAGACAGAUUGUUUAAAGAUACAAAAUCCAUUAUUUCCGACCGUAAGUCCACCAUCUACAACUAGAUUGUGACCACUAACAUAUUUAGACUCAUCACUUCCCAAAUACAAAGCAGCUUCAGCCACAUCUUUUGGCAAAAGAUUAGCACCCUUUAGGUUAGAAUAAACAUCUAGAACUCCAUCAUCAUCAAGCUUAAAGAAAUUCUUAGCCAACGGAGUUCCGACAACAUAAGGUGACACACAAUUCACUCGAAUACCGUACGGUCCAAGCUCGAUGGCCGUAUUUUUCAUUAGCCC
rnacentral:lncRNA from 1 species